rnacentral:rRNA from 1 species
CUCCGUANGUGAACCUGCNNNNNNAUCAUUACACAAAUAUGAAGGCGGGCUGGAACCUCUCGGGGUUACAGCCUUGCUGAAUUAUUCACCCUUGUCUUUUGCGUACUUCUUGUUUCCUUGGUGGGUUCGCCCACCACUAGGACAAACAUAAACCUUUUGUAAUUGCAAUCAGCGUCAGUAACAAAUUAAUAAUUACAACUUUCAACAACGGAUCUCUUGGUUCUGGCAUCGAUGAAGAACGCAGCGAAAUGCGAUAAGUAGUGUGAAUUGCAGAAUUCAGUGAAUCAUCGAAUCUUUGAACGCACAUUGCGCCCCUUGGUAUUCCAAAGGGCAUGCCUGUUCGAGCGUCAUUUGUACCCUCAAGCUUUGCUUGGUGUUGGGCGUCUUGUCUCUAGCUUUGCUGGAGACUCGCCUUAAAGUAAUUGGCAGCCGGCCUACUGGUUUCGGAGCGCAGCACAAGUCGCACUCUCUAUCAGCAAAGGUCUAGCAUCCAUUAAGCCUUUUUUUCAACUUUUGACCUCGGAUCAGGUAGGGAUACCCGCUGAACUUAAGCAUAUCA